CCUAACUGCGGGUCGGCAGCCGCGUUGACACUAGGGUGGGAAGCCUUGUCCGGAUUUAUUGGGCGUAAAGGGCGCGUAGGCGGUACUACCAGUCGGGUUGUAAACCUCCAGGCUCAACCUGGAGUCGCCGCUCGAAACUGUUGGGACUAGAGUCCGGUAGGGGAGCAUGGAAUUUGUGGUGUAGCGGUGGAAUGCGCAGAUAUCACAAGGAACACCAGUAGCGAAGGCGAUGCUCUGGGCCGGUACUGACGCUGAGGAGCGAAAGCAUGGGGAGCGAACAGGAUUAGAUACCCCAGUAGUC
rnacentral:rRNA from 1 species